GCCGCAUCGGGUGAACCAACAACAACAAUGGCGAAAAUCAACAACAACAUGGCGAAAAGCAGAAGGAUUUUGGAAAUCAACCGUAGCCUCGUAAUCAUUGCACGAUUUUUAACAAAAUCAACAACAAUAGCAAAAUCGAUAGCGCGAUGGUCUUGGCUGGGAGUUUUGAAACUGAAUGGUGGCAAGAUCUAAAGCGCCCACCGGGUGAACCAACAACGACAACGGCGAAAAUCAACAACAACAUGGCGAAAAACGGAAGGAUUUUGGAAAUCAACCGUAGCCUCGUAAUCAUUGCACGAUUUUUAACAAAAUCAACAACAAUAGCAAAAUGGAUAGCGCGAUGGUCUUGGUUGGGAGUUUUGAAACUGAAUGGUGGCAAGAUCUAAAGCAUUGAAGUAUAUUUUGAGAAAGGAAAAAAAAAAUCUAAACAAAAGCUGAUAAGAUGGAUUUUACUACUUUAGGAGGCCGAGAGGGAGCUGAAAAUCCAAUGACGGGUCAUCUAAGUAUAUUGUGGUUGUAGGUUUUAUGUGUGAUCAAGGGAGUCACCAAAUUUUUGCAAGAGCACUAGAGGGAUUUAAUAGAUUCGGAGUUCCAUGUGUUGUUAUAAGUGAUAAAGGGAGUCAUUUUUGCAGUAGAGCAAUUAAAGCAUUGUUCAAGAAGUAUGGAGUGCAUCACAGAAUUGCUACCGUGUAUCAUUCCCAAACUAAUGGGCAAAGUUGAAGUGUCCAAUAGUGAGGUAAAGUCCAUUUUAGAAAAGAUUGUGAACACAUGUAGAAAAGAUUGGAGCUUACGCCUAAAUGAUGCUUGGUAUAAUCUAAAUUGUGCAUAUUUUUCUAAUGAAUUUGAAUCAACUUGUGAGCUUAAAUGGAUUAAAUUGCUAUCUUCAAUGCAUAUUCCUUGCUUUCUUAAUUAGAUAUGGUUUCAUUCUUGAUUUGAGUGUUUUAUGGCAUUUGUUAGUGUUUUGAAACCAUUUUAGAUCAAACGCGAAGCAAAAGAACGUUGGAAGGCAUGAUUGGAGUCCAAACGAGUGAAGAAUGCAGAUUUUAGAGCUGGACGUGUCCGGAAUCAUGCCCGUCGCGACAAAAUACUUCAAAGCGUGAAGAUUUGAACCAACACAGGCUCGACGCGUCGAGCUCCAGACUCGAUGCGUCGAGUCCAUGUCGUAGGAAUUUCCGAAAAAAUAGCCCAAGGCUCGACGCGUCGAGCCCCUGUCUCGACGCAUCGAGAAUCCUGUGACAACACAAAAAUCUGCUGCGCGAAAUUGCCUAUUUUGCCCCUAUUUUUGCUCCCACUAUAAAAGGCUCAUUUUCCCAAAACCCUAGCACCUAAGCUGCGUUUUUGGAGGCAAGAGGAGUGAGAGUAAAGGGUGUUUUCCUCUCCAAGGAGGCAAGGAGGGAUCCACCACUUUUGGAGAAGAUACUCACCAUCAAGGAGCUACAAGAGAUUUGGAGGGAGAAGGAGAGGCUAGGAAGACUACAUUCGGGAGAAUUUUUUCCCCUUUCCUUUACUUUCUUAGUUUUUGUAAACUCUUUUGACAUUUGUGCUUUAAAUUCAAUACUAGCCAUGAGUGGCUAAACUUAUUAGGGAUUUUUGGGUGAAAGUUGUUUAUGAACCUAUUGUGCCUUGUUCUUAAUGCUUUAAUGUUAUGUUUUAUAUUUGGGUUUUA